rnacentral:rRNA from 1 species
AGAGUUUGAUCCUGGCUCAGAGCGAACGCUGGCGGCAGGCCUAAUACAUGCAAGUCGAGCGCACCUUCGGGUGAGCGGCGGACGGGUGAGUAACGCGUGGGAAUGUGCCCUUUGGUACGGAACAACACAGGGAAACUUGUGCUAAUACCGUAUGUGCCCUUCGGGGGAAAGAUUUAUCGCCAUUGGAGCAGCCCGCGUUGGAUUAGCUAGUUGGUGGGGUAAGAGCCCACCAAGGCGACGAUCCAUAGCUGGUCUGAGAGGAUGAUCAGCCACACUGGGACUGAGACACGGCCCAGACUCCUACGGGAGGCAGCAGUAGGGAAUCUUGCGCAAUGGGCGAAAGCCUGACGCAGCCAUGCCGCGUGAAUGAUGAAGGUCUUAGGAUUGUAAAAUUCUUUCACCGGGGAAGAUAAUGACGGUACCCGGAGAAGAAGCCCCGGCUAACUUCGUGCCAGCAGCCGCGGUAAUACGAAGGGGGCUAGCGUUGCUCGGAAUUACUGGGCGUAAAGGGCGCGUAGGCGGAUAUCUAAGUCGGGGGUGAAAGCCCGGGGCUCAACCUCGGAAUUGCCUUCGAUACUGGAUAUCUUGAGUUCGGGAGAGGUGAGUGGAAUGCCGAGUGUAGAGGUGAAAUUCGUAGAUAUUCGGCGGAACACCAGUGGCGAAGGCGACUCACUGGCCCGAUACUGACGCUGAGGCGCGAAAGCGUGGGGAGCAAACAGGAUUAGAUACCCUAGUAGUCC